CCAUGAUUCCACAGAACUGUUAUUACCGGUGUUGACAUUUGUUUUUUCCUUUUUUUCUCUAUGGAUAGCUAUAGGUUUUGUGUUUCUAUUAAAAGGUACUAGAUAUAGUUUAUAGCUUUACAUGAAAAUAGACCUCUGUUUGAUUUAAAAUACAUCUAAAGCUGUCUUCAUGCCAGUUUUGUUUGCUUUAUAUUUAUGGUAAGUCAAGCAGGGAAAUCUUUUUAUAUACAAAUCCACAGUCAUUUUUGUACGGGGUUAAUAAAAGGUUCCUGUUGCCUGCCCAAGUGGGUGGAAUGCUCAUCAAACUAGUUUACUCUCCCCUGACUGGCCGGGGUCUCUGGCCUGCCAUGGUUUUUCUUACACAUACACAGCUCUCCAUGGGGGCAAUGUGUGUGUGUGUGUGUGUGUGUGUGCGUGUCUGUGUGCAUGUGCCCACACGCACUGAUUCUCCUUUCCGAUCUCUUUAUAUUUUACCAGACCUUUGAGAUUGUUUAUAAGGCCUUCCCUGACCACUUUAGAUGACAGUGAUGUUUUUCUUCCCCUCCUCAUCUGAACAUCUUAAGUAAUAUCUAUAUGACUGAUUUGUCAACUAAUUUUGUACUGACUUAUGGUGUCUGCUGUUGUGUGGUUUUGUUCCUAAUGUCUUAGAUACUUUCUUUUGUGAUAAAUAGUUUUUUCUCCAGUGAUGCUGCAUGUGCCUUUAGGGCCAGAGACUGUUCCUUAGGCUUUUUUAUACUCCUCCCAGCAUAUCUUCAGUCAAUACCCUGAAAUAUUUAACUUAAAAAAAAAAUCACAGGGAGAGAAGUCAAGAUGGCAGCAUAGGCGGACUCUGAACCCACCUCCUCCCAUGGACACAGUGGACUUACAACUACUCUUGGAAAAAUUACCCCUGAGCGAGAACUGAAAACUGGAUAAGAGGAACCACUGCAACAAACAACAAUCUUUUUUUUUUUUUUUUUUGAGAGAUGGUUGUACAACAAACAACAAUCUUGACUGAGGUGGAAGAGGCAGAAAUUCCCUUCUGGAGAGAAAAAACGUCACCUUCGCAAUCCGCAGCACUUCACAACCGCCCAGGAGCAAUCCAAAGGUGAAGAGGACUUAAUAGAAUUUACCACAGUUACUUUAGAAUCUCCAAAAGCGUUGCUGGCGGAGGCCUGACUGGGAGGUAGAUGGGGCAUCUUCUUACUUUUCAGAGUCUCCUCGGACCCUUUAGUAACAUCAGUACUUGUCUGGUCAUCUUUUAAGACACAGCCUGAUCCAAAGAGUUCUUCCAUUAGACUGCUCUUCUUGUCUCUGAAAGUCGUAUCUUUUGCUUUUGUUCUGGAAGACUUACCAAAAGAGGGUUCAUACCCAGCGGCAGAGUGUUCUAGCCUCAGUUCUUCUGCGUUACUGCGAUGUUUGCUUGUACCGUGAUUGCAUCUCAUGAUGCCAGUGCUGGCUGGCCCACCAGAAGCAGGGAGCCCGUGAUGCAGGUUUUCGAUCGCUUCUGUGAAUGAAUAAUGCUUUCUUUGUCUGAAGGGUGUUUUGAUAUUUGGAGCAGCAUUUUUAUCAGCUAUCUCAUCCAUGUCAUUGAUUUGUAGACUUCUCUUAAACUUUUCUUUUACUGUAUCUUCUUCCUGAUUGUCUUCCCUUUCCUGAAUUGCUUGAAUUCUUUUUGGUGGUAGUUCUUCUUCUUUCACUAAAGUGGUUUUCUUUUCUUGAUCUUCUUUUUUCUCUCUUUGUCUUCCAGUAUUCUCCAGAGGUGGUUGUACCUCCAAGUGUUCCUCUUCCUUUGAUAAAUCUACAUUAGAAAAAUAGUCAAUUUAGUCAUCUUUAAAAUUCAUGGAUUUCUAUUCCAAGAUGGCAUGUUUAGCAGACUUACCUACACUUCCUGACAAGCACAUGAAGGUGACAAGAAAGGCACUCAGGAAGCCCUGCGUUCAGCCUCCGCUCUUCAGAGGAAAGGCCUGUUGUGGGUACAGACAUGCACAAGGACUGAGGAAACCCGCAUGGACUCCCUCCAUACUGAUCAGCAAGGCCAUCGUUUACAGAUCUGAAUGGCGAGUCAUUUGUGAGGGAGAAUAGGGACAAUGUUGGAUAUGCAGAGAGUUGGAAAAUUUUCUCACACGUACACAUUCUGAAAUAAAACUAUUCAUUUAUACUCUGGGAAAAUAAAAAAGGAAUUCUAGCAAGAGAAAGAAACAUGUUUCAAGAAUUAGUGGUGAGCAAAGGAGCCAGCAAAAUGUUUACUUAAUUCUAAAAACUGUUAAUAUUAUGCCCUAUGAUACUUGAUGCAAACGUUAAAAUUUGAUAACAUGGGUGAAAUUGCUUAUCUUCCCCCUCCACUACUCCCAACCCCAGUCCAGUCACCUUCGUCUCUUGCCUGGGUUAUGGCAGUGGGCUCCUGCCUGGCCUCCCUGCUGCCAGCCUUCCUCACAGCAGCCGGAGGAGGCAGAUCUGCUCCCUCCUUUGCUCAAAACCCUUCAUGGCUCCCCCUUCCCCUCAGAGAAAAGGCUCAAGUCCUUACCAUGGCUACAAAGCCAGGCCACAUCUGGGGACCCCCCUCCAUCUCCUACUUCAGUCCUCCCCACGGCGCAGCCCCCUCCAGGCUAUGGGGUCUGUGGAACAUUCUUUGCCUGGAAUGCCCUUCUCCAGGUGUCCACGUGGAUCCCAUCUUCCCUCCUUGCAAGUCUCUGCUGAGGUGCCAUCUGCUCAACCUCAUACCACAAACCCCACCUCAGCCCCUCCCCUUCCCCUCUUCUCUGUCCCUCACCCUCUAACACACCACGUACCUGACUUAUCUCAUGUGAUGUUUGUCUUCCCACACCCGACUAGAGGCACGGGGCGGGGGGCGGGACAGGGCAUAUGUCUUCACUGCUGUAUCCCCAGUGCCCAGAACAGUGCCUGACACAUAGCAUGUGCUUCAACGAUAUUGGUCAAACGGAUGGAUAAACUUUUAGGCCAGUGUGAACUACCACAAUGGACUGAGAAAUAAGUGGACAACUUGAAUAGACCAGUGACCCCAGAAGGAACUGAAAAUGCAGUUGUCAGCGAGCUCCUGCCAAACCGCACCAGACACAGCAGCUUUCCAGGGGAGUUCUGCCAAACAGUUGCGUUAGCUCAACUUUCUUCUGAUGCAAUUUGGCCACACGUCUGAGGGGUGGCCCCUCCAGGGCCUCUACAGAAGGCCUCUCCGCCCUGCUGGAGGGAACGCCUGUGAUGUGUAUGACUCACGCCUGUGAACUGUGGGAAUUGUUCCUCAGUGACUGUUCUUUCCGCGGAGGUUGUGCUCGCCCAGCUGUGUAGGGUUUCACCCACAUUUUCCUUUAGCAAUAAUUUAACACGAAAACAAUGGGGUGAUAUCUUCACAAUUCUGAAGAAUUUUCUUUCUAGUCAAUUAUUAACCAAGUAUAAGGGGAGAAAAAUGACAUUUCCAGAUGAAAGGCAUACAAACUUACACACACCCAUUCUCAAGAAGCUCAUAGAGGUUGUGCUCUUGGGACAUGAUGGCAUUUACCAAGAAAGAGGAAGACAUGGUUUAGGAAACGGAAGCCCUGGUAGAGAAGAGGGGACAGGCACCUGCAGGGAGAGGGUGAAGGGAGAGUCUGGCAUGAUGGCUGCGCCCCACAGCAGAGGGCAACUGGUCAGAGGCAAAGCGGCUUACGCACUAAGGGCUGGCGUCACCAAGACCCCUCUCCGCUCCACCUCCCAGGCACCCAAUGUCCUUGGCCCGUCUGGACCAUGGCCUGUUGCCGCCUCUAUUGUGCGCUGCAGCCUGGGCUGGCUGAGGACUCUCAUUUCACCCACAGACGCGUUCUCUUUGACCUACCCUGAGGGCUGGAGGUGAGCUCUGCAGAGCUUAGAAUGGAACUUCCGAGCAGCCCACUCCCUCCGUCCUCUCCCCCCCGGACCUGCAGUGUGGCCCUGCCAGGUGCCGUGGCUCCGGUGGCUUCUCCACACCCAGGACGAUGCAUGACCCCAACCCUGAUGGAGCCCUUGUAUAUUCAGGGAAGCUGAAGCCAGUCUGUCCAGUUCAUCUUUUCUGGAUGUUUCCAUGUAGUCUUCCUCAGCGGCAGUGCUGCCCUUCACUCGGCUGGAGUUGGGCUUGCUACUCCGUGUUUCAAAACUGAACAUAUCGUUUAGCAACACACAAGGUCAGAGAGUGGCGAGGAGAAGCAAGGGGCUGACUGGCGUCGA